rnacentral:rRNA from 1 species
ACCCGCUGAACUUAAGCAUAUCAAUAAGCGGAGGAAAAGAAACCAACAGGGAUUGCCCUAGUAACGGCGAGUGAAGCGGCAACAGCUCAAAUUUGAAAUCUGGCGUCUUUGGCGUCCGAGUUGUAAUUUGCAGAGGGCGCUUUGGCAUUGGCAGCGGUCCAAGUUCCUUGGAACAGGACGUCACAGAGGGUGAGAAUCCCGUACGUGGUCGCUAGCCUUUACCGUGUAAAGCCCCUUCGACGAGUCGAGUUGUUUGGGAAUGCAGCUCUAAAUGGGAGGUAAAUUUCUUCUAAAGCUAAAUACUGGCCAGAGACCGAUAGCGCACAAGUAGAGUGAUCGAAAGAUGAAAAGCACUUUGGAAAGAGAGUCAAACAGCACGUGAAAUUGUUGAAAGGGAAGCGCUUGCAGCCAGACUUGCUUACAGUUGCUCAUCCGGGCUUUUGCCCGGUGCACUCUUCUGUAGGCAGGCCAGCAUCAGUUUGGGCGGUAGGAUAAAGGUCUCUGUCACGUACCUCUCUUCGGGGAGGCCUUAUAGGGGAGACGACAUACUACCAGCCUGGACUGAGGUCCGCGCAUCUGCUAGGAUGCUGGCGUAAUGGCUGU